AGCGGACAGACGGAGAGCUUUGCCUCCGCUACGUGUAGGCGUAUGUACUGUGCAGGGCCGUGCCGUUAUGAAUUUGAACCUUCGAAAUUUAAACGAGUCGGAGAAACUUGAUCGCUAAUCCCUUAGAAGCUUAUGGUGUGAUUACUAUUGACGCUAAUAAUGAAUCUAUAUAGUUUGCAAUACUGGAGACAUCUAGUGAUCAAAAGAGGAAGCUCUUGAUAUUUUUUACUAAUAGAAGUGGCUGGCUAUGGCGUCCCAUCGAAGCCCAGUGCCAAGUUGUUCAGCAUUGCUCACUAACUGUUUUAAUACAGCAUCCUGAAAUCCAUUUGAAACAGAACAUAAGCAGACCACGACCGCGUUUCCGCUGCAAGCAGCUAUGUAUAUCGUAUGAACCUUUGCCAAACGGCGUUCGUUUAACCCUUUUGUUUCGUCAGAACUGCAAAGAUACCGCUGUGACGUCUAAGUGAAACGAUCGGAAAGAAUGAUUAUCCUUAGCAAGAUUUCCUGGAAAUCUCUACUCAUCACUGAAAUAUUAUGAUAGAGCGAUAGAAGUCUCAAGAAAAUUAACGAUAAGUCACGGAAUUAAUUCACAAUUUGUUAAUCAACAAAUCAAUCGUUCCUUUUUUAAAUAUCUAUUCGAUUAUCAAUAAAAUCUCGAAUAAAUAUUCUUCUUUUUAUUGCUUCCAGUUUUCGUAUUCUUCAUACGACAAACGUUACGAGACAUGCGUGCGCAUAUUUAUUCUGGCACACACGUGGCAACAGUGCUAUACAGGAAGCACGCGCAUUUCAUCUCCGCAGCUGUUUUUACAUCGGUGCACAUAUGUUUACGUUCCCGGCUAAGGACAAGUCGAGAAUAUGUUAUGAAGCGUUAAGUCGCGAGGGAAUGCUAGGAACCAAAAGGGGAGUGCCGUUUAAGUGGAAUGUCUCCUGUAUACAGGACGCGUCGUGGAAAAAAGUGAAUGUAGCGAAAUUCGUGAAACUAUGCAAAUAAAUACUUGGCAGUGAUUUGUUGCUCGAUUAGCACGUGAUAAGGCUGAUUGAACAGCUGUAUUGAAUCUUAUUUUUUUUUAA
rnacentral:lncRNA from 1 species